rnacentral:rRNA from 1 species
CCUACGGGAGGCAGCAGUGGGGAAUAUUGCACAAUGGGGGAAACCCUGAUGCAGCCAUGCCGCGUGUGUGAAGAAGGCCUUCGGGUUGUAAAGCACUUUCAGUUGUGAGGAAAGGUUAGUAGUUAGUACCUGCUAGCUGUGACGUUAACAACAGAAGAAGCACCGGCUAACUCCGUGCCAGCAGCCGCGGUAAU